UACGUAGGGUCCGAGCGUUGUCCGGAAUUAUUGGGCGUAAAGGGCUCGUAGGCGGUUCGUCACGUCGGGAGUGAAAACUCGGAGCUUAACUCCGAGCCUGCUUCCGAUACGGGCAGACUAGAGGUAGGCAGGGGAGAGCGGAACUCCUGGUGUAGCGGUGGAAUGCGCAGAUAUCAGGAGGAACACCGGUGGCGAAGGCGGAUCUCUGGGCCUUACCUGACGCUGAGGCGCGAAAGCUAGGGGAGCGAACAGG
rnacentral:rRNA from 1 species